UGAAUACGAGAUGCUACGGCGUCGAAGCAGUCUAUGUCAUACUUCCAAGAAAAGCUUGCACUGUCAUAAACAAAUAAUGCCUGUACCAUAACCGACACAGGUGGGUAGGUAGAGUAUACUAAGGGGCGCGAGAUAACUCUCUCUAAGGAACUCGGCAAAAUGACUCCGUAACUUCGGGAGAAGGAGUGCCUUAUUUAUAAGGUUGCAAUAACAAGAUCCAAGCAACUGUUUACCAAAAACACAGGUCUCCGCUAAGUCGUAAGACGAUGUAUGGGGGCUGACGCCUGCCCAGUGCCAGAAGGUUAAAGAAGUUGGUUAGCAUCCGCGAAGCUGAUAACUGAAGCCCUGGUGAACGGCGGCCGUAACAAUAACGGUCCUAAGGUAGCGAAAUUCCUUGUCGGGUAAGUUCCGACCCGCACGAAAGGCGUAAUGAUUUGGAUACUGUCUCGGAGAGGGGCUCGGUGAAAUAGACUUGUCUGUGAAGAUGCGGACUACCUGCACCAGGACAGAAAGACCCUAUGAAGCUUUACUGUAACCUGAAAUUGAAAUUGGACUUUACUUGCGCAGUAUAGGUGGGAGGCGUUGAGAAUAUUCUUGCGGGAUUAUUGGAGCCAUCAGUGAGAUACCACUCUUGUAAUGUUAGAUUUCUAACUUUGUAUCAUUAUCUGGUCAAAGAACAGUUUCAGGCGGGCAGUUUGACUGGGGCGGUCGCCUCCUAAACGGUAACGGAGGCGCACAAAGGUUUCCUCUGAACGGGUAGAAAUCGUAUCUAGAGUGUAAAGGCAUAAGGAAGCUUGACUGUGAGACCUACAAGUCGAGCAGGGACGAAAGUCGGUCUUAGUGAUCUGACGGUGCUGAGUGGAAAGGCCGUCACUCAACGGAUAAAAGUUACUCUAAGGAUAACAGGCUGAUCUCCCCCAAGAGUUCACAUCGACGGGGAGGUUUGGCACCUCGAUGUCGGCUCAUCGCAUCCUGGGGCGGUAGUACGUCCCAAGGGUUGGGCUGUUCGCCCAUGAAAGCGGUACGCGAGCUGGGUUCAGAACGUCGUGAGACAGUUCGGUCCAUAUCCAGUGUAGGCGUUAGAAUAUUGAGAGGAGCCUUCUUUAGUACGAGAGGACCGAGAAGGACAUACCUCUGGUGUACCAGUUAUCGUGCCAACGGUAAACGCUGGGUAGCUAUGUGUGGAGUGGAUAACCGCUGAAAGCAUCUAAGUGGGAAGCCCACCUCAAGAUAAGUAUUCUCAUC
rnacentral:rRNA from 1 species